rnacentral:misc_RNA from 1 species
AAGUCGUAACAAGGUUUCCGUAGGUGAACCUGCGGAAGGAUCAUUACCGAGAUAGGGUCCCUCUGGGGCCUGACCUCCAACCCUUUGUCUAUAUAACCUUCGUUGCCUCGGCGGGUCGCCGGGGGCCCCGUGAAACGGGUUCCCGCCAUCGGCUCCCUAAUCAGAGCCCUUGUGCGCCCGCCGGUGGGAUACAUUUAAACCCCUUUAUUAAACGAGUCUUCUGAGUUUAUUAUUAUAAUACUUCAAAA